rnacentral:rRNA from 1 species
GAUGAACGCUAGCGGGAGGCUUAACACAUGCAAGUCGAGGGGCAGCACGGGAUAGCAAUAUUCUGGCGGCGACCGGCGCACGGGUGAGUAACACGUAUGCAACCUACCUCGUACAGGGGGAUAACCCGGAGAAAUUCGGACUAAUAUCCCAUAAUGAUAUUGAGAGGCAUCUUUUAAUAUUUAAAGCUCAGGCGGUACGGGAUGGGCAUGCGGAACAUUAGCUAGUUGGCAGGGUAACGGCCUACCAAGGCUGCGAUGUUUAGGGGACCUGAGAGGGUUAUCCCCCACACUGGUACUGAGACACGGACCAGACUCCUACGGGAGGCAGCAGUGAGGAAUAGUGGUCAAUGGGCGCAAGCCUGAACCAGCCAUCCCGCGUGGAGGAAGAAGGCGCUAUGCGUUGUAAACUUCUUUUCCAGGGGGAGAAUUUUUCCGUCGUGACGGGAAUUGACGGUACUCUGGGAAUAAGCAUCGGCUAACUCCGUGCCAGCCGCCGCUGUAAGAC